rnacentral:rRNA from 1 species
CCUGAGAAACCCAAAAGAUCGAAUGGGGAGAUUCAUCGUCAGCGAUCCCGGCGCGUGUGCGGUUCGCGAUGUCGGGGACUUCGGUCCCGCGGCACGCGUCCGUACGUUCUACUGCCGGGUGUCGUCGGCGUGCACUUCUCCCCUAGUAGGACGUCGCGACCCGUUGGGUGUCGGUCUACGGCCCGGGUGGGCGCCUGCCGCGCGAAACGCUUCAAGGCGUCGCGUGGCAGACCCCCGGUUGUCUGACCAGCUGCCCGGCGGUACUCGCACGGUAUCGGGCCGCAAAUAUUCGAACUGCGUCCGGCCCGCCGCAAGCGAGGCAAGUGUUUCCCGGAUGUACGGACCUAGCGCCGUCGCCGGGCCUGACCAGCUGUUGGUAGGCGGUGUCCUGGGACUGGCUCAUUGAAUUAUGAUACCGGUCGGCGACGCUACUGCUUUGGGUACUUUCAGGACCCGUCUUGAAACACGGA